rnacentral:rRNA from 1 species
GAUUGAACGCUGGCGGCAGGCCUAACACAUGCAAGUCGAGCGGAUGACGGGAGUUUGCUCCUGGAUUCAGCGGCGGACGGGUGAGUAAUGCCUAGGAAUCUGCCUGGUAGUGGGGGAUAACGUCCGGAAACGGGCGCUAAUACCGCAUACGUCCUGAGGGAGAAAGUGGGGGAUCUUCGGACCUCACGCUAUCAGAUGAGCCUAGGUCGGAUUAGCUAGUUGGUGGGGUAAAGGCCUACCAAGGCGACGAUCCGUAACUGGUCUGAGGGGAUGAUCAGUCACACUGGAACUGAGACACGGUCCAGACUCCUCCGGGAGGCAGCAGUGGGGAAUAUUGGACAAUGGGCGAAAGCCUGAUCCAGCCAUGCCGCGUGUGUGAAGAAGGUCUUCGGAUUGUAAAGCACUUUAAGUUGGGAGGAAGGGCAGUAAGUUAAUACCUUGCUGUUUUGACGUUACCAACAGAAUAAGCACCGGCUAACUUCGUG